CGGGGCCUCGCCGGAGUGCCGCCGUCCGGUCACCGGACCGCCGCCGCCGACCGCCAUGCACGGUGGUCGGAAAUUCAAAUCAUCACCAAAAUUAACAAACAAUCUAUCAUUUUAUUUGUUUCGAUGAGAGGAUCAUUAAUAUGUAUUCAAAUCAAGGUGGGUACGAACUAUUUGGCCGGAAAUUGAUCGGAAAGGUUCGGUGAUACCCAUUUUGGGUUUUCCGAUUCCGGCCAUUACAGUCGACGAGGAGGCCAUCAAAUGAAAGAAGAAGAAGAGAGGAGUCAUUUGGUACUCACCUUGAGCCCUAGGCUUGCCUGAAACGGCGUGAAU